GACGAACCGAGCGAACGUUAUUCGGAAUCACUGGGCUUAAAGGGCGCGUAGGCGGGCCAUCAAGUCAGGGGUGAAAGCCCCCAGCUCAACUGGGGAAGUGCCUUUGAUACUGGUGGUCUCGAGGGGGAUAGGGGCGUGCGGAACUUCCGGUGGAGCGGUGAAAUGCGUAGAUAUGCGGAGGAACACCGAUGGCGAAGGCAAUCCCCUGGGCCUGCACUGACGCUCAUGCACGAAAGCGUGGGGAGCAAACAGG
rnacentral:rRNA from 1 species